UACUAGAGUAGCACUUGCAUAUCAAUAAGCGGAGGAAAAGAAACUAACAAGGAUUCCCCUAGUAACGGCGAGUGAAGCGGGAAGAGCUCAAAUUUGAAAUCUUAAAGGGUUUCCCUUUACGAAUCGUAGUUUAAAGAAGUGUUUUCUGUUGAGGUUUUGGUAAAAGUUCUUUGGAAUAGGACAUCAUAGAGGGUGAGAAUCCCGUAUUUGACCUUUACUUUCAACUUUGUGAUACACUUUCAAAGAGUCGGAUUGUUUGGGAAUGCAGUCCAAAAUGGGUGGUAAAUUUCAUCUAAAGCUAAAUAUUGGCGAGAGACCGAUAGCGAACAAGUACCGUGAGGGAAAGAUGAAAAGAACUUUGAAAAGAGAGUUAAACAGUACGUGAAAUUGUCAAAAGGGAAGCGUUUGACACCAGUGUUGUUUUUCUGAAAAUCAAUUAAAGAACUGUUUAUGCUAAGUUGUUUAGACUUUAUCAGCUAACUGUUUAGUUUUGAGCAUUUUCUUUAAUGCACUUUUCAGUUAACAAGUCAACAUCAAUUUCUUUUGCUGUAAAAAAGCUUGAGGAAGGUGGCUUGAGACUCGUCUUAAGUGUUUAUAGCCUCUUGCCUAUGCAGUCGGAGAGAUUGAGGUCUGCAGCGUAGAUCCUUCGGGGCUAAAUGCAUUUGUGCUAAGUUAUAACAUUUUAUAGACAACUUGUUGACUAUGAUUUGUCUUGUAGCUUACUCGCUUAUGUUAUUUUACCUACGCUUAGGAUGUUGAUAUCGCGCUCUCACUG
rnacentral:rRNA from 1 species